rnacentral:lncRNA from 1 species
GACCCGGGAGAAGUGGCCACACACUCAGAAGCAACUCCAGCAACACAAUUCAACCCUAGACCCGACAGAGGACAAGGAACGGACAGCUCACUGAGGAACACCAGUACUCUGGAGGCAGAAACAGGAUGACCAAAAGUUUGAGGCCGACCUAAUCUAUAUAAGCAUCACUCCAUCUCAACGCCUACCCCAAAAGAAAUACGAGAAACCCACAUUCAGGCAGUCUUGCUAGCUCACAAUUCCUAACUCACAUCCUUUUCAUCUCUGCCCAUCUAAACAAUGAAAAACGGUGUGUGGUCCCCAUGACCUCUGCCUGUUAACCUAGGUCACUCGUAGUACUCUCGUUUACUAUCUUUUCAAGCUUGUCUACUUUUUAUGCCAAAAGGACUGCCUUUUCUUACUGAUUACUAACAGUUUCUUGGUUUGACAUCAGACUACAACAGGACUCAGGACAGAUCUAGCAGGUCUGGUUUCAAAACCCAGCUCUGCCAGUGAAGCUAUGUAAUCCUGAGCACCUUAACCCAUCUG